AUGAUCCAGCCGCCUCAGCAGCCUCGGCUUCAGGACCGUAUAGAUAUCCCCGAUGCGGAUAAAUGGCAUAUCCCCGGUCAACCAAUCCUACCUGCAACAGCGCUACGGGCCAGAUUCGGCGAUCUAAGGAGACUUCAUGACGAUGUGCUGCGGGUAGAGAAAUGCCUCAUCGCCUCGAAAGAUCCAGGAUACCCACUCUACGUGGUUAACGUUCCGCGGCAAAUGUCGUACGUCGACAGCUUCCCUGCGGAUAAGUUCUUCCUCCGAUUCGAUUACAUAUUCGACAUGUUUCACGUGAAGAAGCUGGAUUUUACGUUUGUCCGCCUUUAUGCCUUGCACAUGAACUACAUCAUUGGGGUUGAGCAGAUACGUCAUAUCUGUGUCGUUGACCCGUACUACAUGCACGAGAGCUUCUUGGGAGUAUGUGCAGAGCAGCGUGAAUACGCGAGGGAUUACAUCGUCAGUUUCAUGCUCGCCAAUAAGGACAAGGAGGCGAUUCUCGAUCCUUAUCAUCCCGUCGGCGGGCGCGCCGUCCUCAUCAUCCUCUACCCCCGAUUCUCCCACGCUCUUUACUUGGACUCGUCAAAGAACAUUCGCAAAAAGGAUUACACCCACAUCAAAGAUGUUCUCGACAGUGCUAUGUUUUACUACCAAGCAAGGGGUGGAGAGGUUAGGGACAAGAAGAGAAGGGGCGGCAGGGCCACCUUCAGCCAUAAGACCGACUUCUGCUGCAUCCAGCAACUGAACGAUUCUCUUAAUGAUGGAUUCUAUGUCCUACACCACAUGCUGGAGUACAGACGGGAUCACCAGAACCUUCACAUGUCACCUAGAUCUGGCGAUGCCCAUAUUCUGCAAUGGGCAAAGGACAUAGGAGAUAUCGAGGAUCAUCGACUUUGA
rnacentral:rRNA from 1 species